UGGGGAAUAUUGCGCAAUGGGCGAAAGCCUGACGCAGCGACGCCUCGUGAGGGAUGAAGGUCUUCGGAUCGUAAACCUCUGUCAAGAGGGAAGAAACCCUUUGGUUCGAACAGGGCCUUAGGCUGACGGUACCUCAAAAGGAAGCACCGGCUAACUCCGUGCCAGCAGCCGCGGUAAUACGGAGGGUGCAAGCGUUAAUCGGAAUCACUGGGCGUAAAGCGCUCGUAGGCGGUUUGGUCAGUCAGAUGUGAAAUCCCGCGGCUCAACCGCGGAACUGCAUUUGAUACUGCCAGACUUGAGUGUCGGAGAGGGUGGCGGAAUUCCGGGUGUAGGAGUGAAAUCCGUAGAUAUCCGGAGGAACACCAGUGGCGAAGGCGGCCACCUGGACGACAACUGACGCUGAGGAGCGAAAGCGUGGGGAGCAAACA
rnacentral:rRNA from 1 species